ensembl:lncRNA
AUUUAUCAUCCACCUGCCACUCUGACAGCAAUAAGAGUAUUGCUUAAGUUUUGUUUCAUAGAUUUGAUCACUGAAAAAAUACCAAAAAUUGGACCCUUAACGUUGUAGCAAAUAGAAUAGUGGAUGCUAAGACAGGGACCUUUGACUCUUCUAACACCAUUGUCUAUUUCAGAGCAAGAAAGGAGAGUUAUCAAUGGACAGCAGUCUGCUUCCCCCAUGAGUGCUCUACCACUGAGUUAGUAGCCUUAGCCCUCCUCACCUUUAGAUAAAGGGUGUCACUAAGUUGUCCAAGCAGACCUGAAACUCAUGCUGUAGACCAGGCUAGCUUUGAACUUCUGAUCCCCCUCCCUACUGUGUGUCUUGAGUGUCUGGGAUUACAGGCCCAUUUCUCUACAGCUGAGCAGCUUGCUUGUUUGCUUCCUCCUUUCUUUACUCCUCCUCCUCCUCCUCCUCCCUCUCUCUCUCUCUGUCUCUUUCAUUCUUUCUUUCCUUUCAUUCAUUCUUUCUUUCAUUCUUUAUCUUUCUUUUCUUCCUUCUUUCAUUCCUUUGUUCCUUUCUUUUAAGAUUCAUUUACUUUAGUGCUCUAUCUGCAUGUACAUCUGUGUGUCCAAAGAGGACAAACUUACCACACUUGGUUCACAUGAGAAUUGUCUGUCAGAUGAGUAAGGUAAGGUUACCCUGAGUGCAGAGUGCUUAUCCCUUGUCAGAUCAUCCAGGGGGUUACCUCUGACUCAUGCUGUCCUUUUCCAGGUCUGUCACCAGUGCCCUGGAGUUUGUGGGCCUCAUCCACAGAGGCACAGUCUGUGGAUGUCUCUAAGGUGUUGGAGAUCGGACCCCACUGAGGGGUGAGAGGCUUUCAGUGGCUUAUAGACACAAGGCUUGGGCAUGAUGGCUUUUUUUUUUUGGUUCUUUUUUUCGGAGCUGGGAACAGAACCCAGGGCCUUGCGCUUCCUAGGUAAGCGCUCUACCACUGAGCUAAAUCCCCAGCCCCGCAUGAUGGCUUUUAUUGUGUGUUUGGUAGCAUGUAUGCCCUGCUGCAAGUGUAGACAGACACUCCCCAUGCCUGUAGUCCCUGCUUGGAGUGUGGGUACACUCUGUCCAUGCAGACAGCUGUCUCCGCACACACAGAUGCCAUUUUCAUGAUUUACGCCUGUCAUCUUUGAUGUUUCUUUUAAUAGGCAGUCAUGUAAAGUCACUAUGAUUUUGUGGUGACUUUCUUUCCCCAGCCUUCAGAUGAAUAUAGGAAAGAGACUCUGGAAUCUGCCUGGGCUCCUCCUUAUGCCCACACCUUGACCCCACUGAACUCUCUUUGGCAGAGACAUGGCAGAGCCUGGCCUUUAAUUGUCCUGUUCAUUCCCUAUUGAUUGUGACCACAGUCUGGAGCUCUGCACAGCCUGGUGUCCAGAGAAAAUUGGCAUAGUUCCCCACAAUGUCUCCACAGGCUCAGAGGAAGGACAUAAAUAGAAUCUUUAUGGGACCCAAGUGGCUUCUCAGGGUCAGCCAAUGGUCUUGGCUCCUUCUUGUCUCUGAAGACACAGGGCACAAGUCCUGACCUCCAUGCACCUUUAGCUGCUGCACACACUAAGGAUGAGUCCAUUGGCUUCUGCUGCUUCUGGGAGUCCUGAAAACCACAAUCCCUCAACCAAGGGAACUAGUGGGGGACAAGUGAGCUCCCUGACGACCAGAAGCCCCACCUGGGUUCACUGCUAUGUUUCCCAAAAUAAUGAAGAGCUCCUGUCAUAGCAGGCCAUGCUCUGGUGGGUAGGGCAGACAGGCACAUCCAGACCCACAGAAGGCUGUACUGUGGCUGUGCUGGGCAUCCCAGGGGCGGGGUGGGGUUGGGGACGGGAGACAGUUGGUCCAUGGGUACCAUGGGUAUACAUGGACACCUAGGCACAUAAGGGGGUAUGCAUAUACACGAAAAAACUCCCUCUCACACAGAAGUUGGCAUGAUGUAUAGAAAAACAAGUCCAUCCUGAGUGUGGGCUUCACUUUAGAUAUUAAGGUCCAACGUUAAAACAGGAAUGUGUGAAGACAAGGAGCUCUGUGUUCCCUGGGACCAGAAGGAACAGAGUGGCUGUGCUGACUCAGAUGAAAUAAACUCUCAAUCACAGUCUGUGACAGCCAGGUCACAGGACCCAGGCUGCUGUGUUAUGUGUGA